GCUCCCAGUGACUUCAUAGCUCAGUGGCAGAGCAUUUGCACCAGAAUCGCAAAGGUCAUGGGUUGGAACCCCGUUGGUAUGGGGGCC